rnacentral:rRNA from 1 species
CCUACGGGCGGCUGCAGUGAGGAAUAUUGGUCAAUGGCCGCGAGCCUGAACCAGCCAAGUCGCGUGAAGGAUGACUGCCCCACGGGUUGUAAACUUCUUUUAUAAAGGAAUAAAAUGAUGCACGUGUGCCUGUUUGUAUGUACUUUAUGAAUAAGGAUCGGCUAACUCCGGGCCAGUAGCCGCGGUAAUACGGAGGAUCCGAGCGUUAUCCGGAUUUAUUGGGUUUAAAGGGAGCGUAGAGGGGUUGUUAAGUGAGUUGGGAAAGUUUGCGGCUCAACCGUAACAGUGCAAUUGAUACUGGCAGGCUUGAGUACAGUAGAGGUAGGCGGAAUUCGUGGUGUAGCGGUGAAAUGCUUAGAUAUUACGAAGAACUCCGAUUGCGAAGGCAGCAUACUAAACGGCCACUGACAUUGAUGCUCGAAAGUGUGGGUAUCAAACAGGAUUAGAUACCCGGGUAGUC